rnacentral:rRNA from 1 species
CCAAUAGCGUAUAUUAAAGUUGUUGCAGUUAAAAAGCUCGUAGUUGAAUUUCGGGAUUGGCGUGUCGGUCGUGCCUUACGGGGUAUGAACUGGCGUCGUCGAUUUCUCACCUUCUGGAGAAUCACGAUGCCCUUAAUUGGGUGUCGUGUGGAACCAGGACCUUUACCUUGAAAAAAUUAGAGUGUUUAAAGCAGGCAUUUUUGCUCGAAUACAUUAGCAUGGAAUAAUAAAAUAGGACGGUUUGGUUCUAUUUUGUUGGUUUCUAGGAUCACCGUAAUGAUUAAUAGGGAUAGUUGGGGGCAUUAGUAUUCAAUUGUCAGAGGUGAAAUUCUUGGAUUUAUUGAAGACUAACUACUGCGGAAGCAUUUGCCAAGGAUGUUUUCAUUAAUCAAGAACGAAAGUUAGGGGAUCGAAGACGAUCAGAUACCGUCGUAGUCUUAACCAUAAACUAUGCCGACUAGGAAUCAGACGAUGUUAAUUUUUUAAUGACUCGUUUGGCACCUUACG